rnacentral:rRNA from 1 species
GUCUAUGGCCAUACCACCCUAAACAUGCCUGAUCCCGUAUGAUCUUGGAAUCUAAGCAGAGUCGGGCCAGAUUACUACUUGGAUGGGAGACCACCUAGGAAGACCAGGUGCUGUAGCCA